rnacentral:rRNA from 1 species
AUUCCAAUCGAACUCGGAGAUAGCUGGUUCUCCCCGAAAUAGCUUUAGGGCUAGCGUUAUGUUAGAUUACCGGAGGUAAAGCACUGAAUGGUGGCGGGGCCGAUAAGGUUACCAAGACCUAUCAAACUCUGAAUGCCGGAUAAUUGAUGCAUAGCAGUCAGACAGCGUGAGAUAAGUUUCGUUGUCAAAAGGGAAACAGCCCAGACCCACAGCUAAGGUCCCAAAUUCAUGCUAAGUGGAAAACGAUGUGGAAUUGCGAAAACAACCAGGAUGUUGGCUUAGAAGCAGCCACUCAUUAAAAGAGUGCGUAAUAGCUCACUGGUCGAGUGACUCUGCGCCGAAAAUUUAACGGGGCUAAACUAUACACCGAAGCUUGGGAUACAUCUAAUGUAUGGUAGGAGAGCGUUCUGUAUGGGGAGAAGUCGUAGCGAAAGCGGCGGUGGACUAUACAGAAGUGAGAAUGCCGGAAUAAGUAGCGAGAAUUAAGUGAGAAUCUUAAUGGCCGAAAGUCUAAGGUUUUUGGAGGAAGGUUCGUCCGCUCCAAGUAAGUCGGGAGCUAAGGUCAGGCCGAAAGGCGUAGCCGAUGCACAUACGGUUGAUAUUCCGUAACCAUCUGUAAUUUAAGCAAAGGGACACUUCAAAAGGGUGUGACCCGGGCGUUGGUUGACCCGGGCGUAAGGGACCGAAAUUAGAGUAGGGAAGCACACUUAGCUGAAGGCGAGAAAAGCUUUGCGUAUAGAAACAGAUGCCCGUACCGCAAACCGACACAGGUGGACAGGAAGAGAAUUCUAAGGCCAGCGGGAGAAGGGUAGUUAAGGAACUCGGCAAAUUGACUCCGUAACUUCGGAAUAAGGAGUGCUCGAAAGAGCCGCAGAGAAUAGGCCCAGGCGACUGUUUAGCAAAAACACAGGUCUCUGCCAAAUCGAAAGAUGAAGUAUAGGGGCUGACACCUGCCCGGUGCCGGAAGGUUAAGAGGAGGAGUGAGAGCUCCGAAUUGAAGCCCCGGUAAACGGCGGCCGUAACUAUAACGGUCCUAAGGUAGCGAAAUUCCUUGUCGGGUAAGUUCCGACCCGCACGAAUGGUGUAACGAUCUGGGCACUGUCUCAACUACCCACCCGGCGAAAUUGUAGUACCGGUGAAGAUGCCGGUUACCUGCGGCAAGACGGAAAGACCCCAUGGAGCUUUACUGUAGCCUGAUAUUGGGUUUCGGAAAUCUAUGUACAGGAUAGGCGGGAGACUGGGAAACAUGAGCGUCAGCUUGUGUGGAGUCGAUGUUGGGAUACCGCCCUUAGGUUUCUGGAAUUCUAACCUGCGGCCGUGAAUCCGGUCGGGGGACAUUGUCAGGUGGGCAGUUUGACUGGGGCGGUCGCCUCCGAAAAGGUAACGGAGGCGCUCAAAGGUUAGCUCAGCACGGACGGAAACCGUGCCUCUGAGUGUAAACGCAAAAGCUAGCCUAACUGCGAGGGUGACGGCCCGAGCAGUAACGAAAGUUGGAGUUAGUGAUCCGGCGGUAUGUGAAUGGAAAUGCCGUCGCUCAACGGAUAAAAGCUACCCUGGGGAUAACAGGCUGAUCUCCCCCAAGAGUCCACAUCGACGGGGAGGUUUGGCACCUCGAUGUCGGCUCAUCACAUCCUGGGGCUGUAUUCGGUCCCAAGGGUUCGGCUGUUCGCCGAUUAAAGUGGUACGCGAGCUGGGUUCAGAACGUCGCGAGACAGUUCGGUCCCUAUCUGUCGUGGGCGCAGGAUAUUUGAGGAGCUCUGUCCUUAGUACGAGAGGACCGGGAUGGACGUACCUCUGGUGCACCAGUUGUCAUGCCAAUGGCACGGCUGGGCAGCUAUGUACGGAACGGAUAAACGCUGAAAGCAUCUAAGCGUGAAGCCGACUCCAAGAUUAGAUAUCCCAUCGUAUAACGAGUAAGACCCCUUGAAGACUACGAGGUUGAUAGGCUGCGUGUGUAAGUGCCGUGAGGCAUUCAGCUUGGCAGUACUAAUAGGUCGAGGGCUUGACCAC